ensembl:lncRNA TTN-AS1 TTN antisense RNA 1
GAACACCUGGAGAUGAAGACAAGGAAGAUGUCAGUUUCUACAUUAAGUAACAAACUAGAAAGAAAACAACUUUUUUUCUCCUUCACAAAAACAUACCAAAUGGGAACUGCGCAACCAUCUUUGGAGAUGUGAGAGGCUCUGAAAUGCCAAAUCGGUUUUCAGCACGGACCCGGAAGAUGUACUCCUGGCCUGGGAUCAGCUUUCCAACCCUGCAGGAAGUUUUUGUGACUGAAGCUAGAGCCGUGACCCAGUCACCUCGGCUUACAUCACACUUCUCCACUAUAUAAUUGGUGAUGUUACUGCCUCCGUCCUCCAGAGGGAUGUGCCAUGACAGGGAGCAAGCAUCAGCGUCUAUAUCAGAAAUGUCAAAUGGAGGCUGAGGGGGGCCGGGGGCAUCUACAUGAACCAAGAGGAAAGAAAUGCCAGUGACAACAAGGCUCAGAUCUUUUACCACUGAGUACUCUGUCCAGCGAUCUGCAGGCUGCUCUUCUUCUCUGUAACUAGUGAUGUAGCCAUCGAUUUUAGCACCUCCAUCACGUAGGGGAGGUAACCAGGCUAAGGUGGCACUGUUCUUGGUCAUUUCAGUCACUUCUAAUUUCCUUGGGGGAUCCGGCUCACCUAGAAGAAAAACAUAAUUUAGAAGAUUACCUAGGUGGCUGCCAUGAGAUAGUCAUGUGUUCAGGAGUAACAUCCAGAAUAUUAAUAGGACCUGUUGGUGGCCCAGGAACAUCAAGAACAGUAAGAUGUACGGCUACUGUUUUGCUACCGGCUGCAUUGGAAACUGUGAUUUGAUAUUCCCCAGUGUCUCUCCU